UGAUGCACUCAUUGUCUCCUUGGUGAUGACUAAAGCAUUAGCCAUCAAGUUUUAGCUAUCAUGGAGGAUGCAGGAAAAGCAGCAGCAUCUCACUUGGGUAGCUUGCUUCUUCUCCCCUCCUAUCCCAAGAACAGAUGUGAUAAUCAUGACAAAGCAGUUCUAAAUAUACAAAUGAGACUAUCAAGAGCCCUGCCAGAUGGUGAUUUUGCUUUGGAAGCUCAGUGGAACAGACGUGCAAAGAACUGGAUGGAGGACAAUAUUUACAGGAAAUGGCUUUGCUUGAAAAGCAUAAAGCAGUUCAUGGUCUCCCACAAGCUUAACAAAGCAACCAACUCAUAACAAAAAGUCUGAUGUGAGUCCAAUUCCAGGGGUGUUUGUUCCUGUGAAUGAAGCAUAAACCAAUGGUUCUCGUUAUGACAAAGAUGGACUGCCUCUUGGAAGCCCCUACGGAUUCAGGUGUUUUGUGCCUUUAAAAACAUUAUCUGAAGAACAAGCAGAAGUGCAGCAGGUGCAGCUGUUCGAGUAUGGAGGCUCAGUCAGCACCCGUGGAACUUCCUCUCUCAAUUUCAUAACUUCAGCAAACAAAAUAAAUAAAACAGCAGGACUCUCCUAUGCUGA